rnacentral:rRNA from 1 species
AUUGAACGCUGGCGGCAUGCUUUACACAUGCAAGUCGAACGGCAGCACGGACUUCGGUCUGGUGGCGAGUGGCGAACGGGUGAGUAAUACAUCGGAACGUACCCAGUAAAGGGGGAUAACUAUCCGAAAGGAUAGCUAAUACCGCAUACGCCCUACGGGGGAAAGAGGGGGAUCGCAAGACCUCUUGUUAUUGGAGCGGCCGAUGGCUGAUUAGCUAGUUGGUGAGGUAAAGGCUCAUCAAGGCGACGAUCAGUAGGGGGUCUUAGAGGACGAUCCGCCACACUGGAACUGAGACACGGUCCAGACUCCUACGGGAGGCAGCAGUGGGGAAUCUUGGAGAAUGGGCGCAAGCCUGAUCCAGCAAUGCCGCGUGCGUGAAGAAGGCCUUCGGGUUGUAAAGCGCUUUUGUCAGGGAGCAAAUCCUUGUGGCUAAUACCCACCGGGGAUGAGAGUACCUGAAGAAUAAGGACCGGCUAACUACGUGCCAGCCGCCGCCGUAA